UACGUAGGAUGCGAGCGUUGUCCGGAAUUAUUGGGCGUAAAGAGCUCGUAGGCGGUGUGUCACGUCGGCCGUGAAAACCUGCAGCUUAACUGUGGGCGUGCGGUCGAUACGGGCAUCACUGGAGUUCGGCAGGGGAGACUGGAAUUCCUGGUGUAGCGGUGAAAUGCGCAGAUAUCAGGAGGAACACCGGUGGCGAAGGCGGGUCUCUGGGCCGAUACUGACGCUGAGGAGCGAAAGCGUGGGGAGCAAACAGG
rnacentral:rRNA from 1 species